UACGGAGGGUGCAAGCGUUAAUCGGAAUUACUGGGCGUAAAGCGCGCGCAGGCGGUCUCUUAAGUCUGAUGUGAAAGCCCACGGCUCAACCGUGGAGGGUCAUUGGAAACUGGGAGACUUGAGUACAGAAGAGGAAAGUGGAAUUCCACGUGUAGCGGUGAAAUGCGUAGAUAUGUGGAGGAACACCGAUGGCGAAGGCAGCCCCCUGGGUUAACACUGACGCUCAGGCACGAAAGCGUGGGGAGCAAACAGG
rnacentral:rRNA from 1 species